UAGCACAUAGGAAACCUCAUAAAACAUGAACAACCACAAUAGAAGAAACAAUAAGGUUCUCUGUCACUCUUCCUUUACAUGAAGUUGCUUUUAAUCUUCCCUUGCCACAAUACCUUAUGAUUGCUUUCCCACAUAGCUUGUGGUCAGAACUGAAAAUUCAAAUAAAAAACAGGAUUGGCAGAAAGAAAAGAA